rnacentral:rRNA from 1 species
UGGGGAAUAUUGCACAAUGGGGGAAACCCUGAUGCAGCGACGCCGCGUGAAGGAAGAAGUAUCUCGGUAUGUAAACUUCUAUCAGCAGGGAAGAAAAUGACGGUACCUGACUAACGAAGCCCCGGCUAACUACGUGCC